rnacentral:rRNA from 1 species
CCUACGGGAGGCAGCAGUGGGGAAUAUUGCGCAAUGGGCGAAAGCCUGACGCAGCGACGCCGCGUGAGGGAUGAAGGUCUUCGGAUCGUAAACCUCUGUCAGCAGGGAAGAACGGUCACUGUGCCAAUCAGCAGUGAAUUAACGGUACCUUCAAAGGAAGCACCGUCUAACUCCGUGCCAGCAGCCGCGGUAAUACGGCGGGUGCGAGCGUUAAUCGGAAGUACUGGGCGUAAAGCGGUCGUAGGCGGUAUGUCAAGUCACGGGUGAAAGCCCCGCGCUCACCGUGGGAAGUGCCUUUGAAACUGGCAAACUGGAGUGUGUGAGAGGAUAGUGGAAUUCCAGGUGUAGGAGUGAAAUGCGUAGAUAUCUGGAGGAACAUCAGUGGCGAAGGCGACUAUCUGGCACAUAACUGACGCUGAGGAGCGAAAGCGUGGGUAGCAAACAGGAUUAGAUACCCCAGUAGUC